rnacentral:rRNA from 1 species
CGGGGUGAGUAAUGCUUGGGAAUCUGGCUUAUGGAGGGGGAUAACUACGGGAAACUGUAGCUAAUACCGCGUAGUAUCGGAAGAUGAAAGUGCGGGACCGUAAGGCCGCAUGCCAUGAGAUGAGCCCAAGUGGGAUUAGGUAGUUGGUGGGGUAAAGGCCUACCAAGCCUGCGAUCUCUAGCUGGUCUGAGAGGAUGGCCAGCCACACUGGAACUGAGACACGGUCCAG